UACAGAGGGGGCAAGCGUUGUUCGGAAUACUGGCGUAAGCGCGCGCAGGCGGUCUUCCAAGUCAGUGGUGAAAGCCCGGAGCUCAACUCCGGAACUGCCAUUGAAACUGUAAGACUUGAGGAUGAGAGAGGUGAGUGGAAUUCCCAGUGUAGAGGUGAAAUUCGUAGAUAUUGGGAAGAACACCGGUGGCGAAGGCGGCUCACUGGCUCAUUACUGACGCUCAGGCGCGACAGCGUGGGGAUCAAACAGG
rnacentral:rRNA from 1 species